GUAUACUGGCUUUUUUUUUGAAAACGUAUUUUACCCAAAACCAAAAAAUAACUUUUGCCGCUCGUUACUCCCUCUUUUUCUCAUCUAUGUCGCUUGCCCUAAAUCCCCCAAAUAAAAUUUAGCUACUCUUCUUUUCUCAAUCUGAAAUAAAAGAAAAAAAGAAACUGAAAAAGGCACAAAGGGUUUUUGGAAGCAAAGCAGAGCGAAGAACUGUGUGAAGCCAGAGCUAUCGAGCAUGUUCGAGUCUUAGCACAUGAAAUCGAUGGUCGUCAAGAAGGGCGUCAGGGUUUGAGAGAAGCAGCAGAGUAUAUUAAGGCACAGUUGGAAAGGUUGAAGGAGAGAGCUGGGUAAAAUUUCAGGAUGAUGCAAUAUGUGCCUUCCUAUACGCUAAUAAAUUUUGAAACUAGGAAACGAACUGAAGCACCUUCCUACUGGUUUUCUUCGAAUUCAAGGCAUUAGUGAUAAUAAGAUAUAUCAUUAUCGCUUAAAUAUUGGAAGAAGUGUUUCUACCAGAAGGCUGACUAGGUUACCUUCAAUUCCUAAGAAUGAUGCAAAGUUCAGGUUUUGAGUUUUUGUUGGGUGCAUGGUCCAGGAUUAGCUGAAUUCAUGCAUAAUGACGACUUGUUUAAGCUAACUGCUUAUCUUAAAGUGUGCACUCUAUCAUUAUUUUGUUCUAUUUGUAUUUUGUUAGAUUUCUAGUGUAGUAUGAUAAGUGCGGUAUUUUGUUUGAUUGUUAUUGAUAAACUUUUGCCUAGUGGGAUAUAUAUUUAUAUCAUAGAUAUUAUUCUUCUUCUCAAUAUUUUGAUAAUGAAUUUUAUUUUUUUUA